rnacentral:rRNA from 1 species
GUGGCUGUCGCGUGCGACCCGACACCUAGUGUUGGUGUUUGCUUGCGUCGCCAUCCUUGGGUGGAACCUGUGUGGCAUUAGGUUGUCGUGCAGGGGAUGCCCAUCGUUUACUGUGAAAAAAUUAGAGUGUUCAAAGCAGGCUUAUGCCGUUGAAUAUGUUAGCAUGGAAUAAUAAGAUAGGACCUUGGUACUAUUUUGUUGGUUUGCGCACCAAGGUAAUGAUUAAUAGGGACAGUUGGGGGUAUUCGUAUUCCAUUGUCAGAGGUGAAAUUCUUGGAUUUUUGGAAGACGAACUACUGCGAAAGCAUUUACCAAGGAUGUUUUCAUUAAUCAAGAACGAAAGUUAGGGGAUCGAAGAUGAUUAGAUACCAUCGUAGUCUUAACCAUAAACUAUGCCGACAAGGGAUUGGCGGAGUUUCGUUUUGUCUCCGUCAGCACCUUAUGAGAAAUCACAAGUCUUUGGGUUCCGGGGGGAGUAUGGUCGCAAGGCUGAAAC